rnacentral:rRNA from 1 species
GAUGAACGCUAGCUACAGGCUUAACACAUGCAAGUCGAGGGGAAACGACAUCGAAAGCUUGCUUUUGAUGGGCGUCGACCGGCGCACGGGUGAGUAACGCGUAUCCAACCUGCCCACCACUUGGGGAUAACCUUGCGAAAGUAAGACUAAUACCCAAUGAUAUCUCUAGAAGACAUCUGAAAGAGAUUAAAGAUUUAUCGGUGAUGGAUGGGGAUGCGUCUGAUUAGCUUGUUGGCGGGGUAACGGCCCACCAAGGCAACGAUCAGUAGGGGUUCUGAGAGUAAGGCACCCCACAUGGGAACUGAGACACGGACAAAAAUCCGACGGGAGGCAGCAGUGAGGAAUAUUGGGCAAUGGAGGAGAGUCUGAAACAGCCAAGUGGGGUGCAGGAAGACGGGCCUAGGGGUUGUAAACUGCUUUUAUAAGGGAAUAAAGUGAGUCUCGUGAGACUUUUUGCAUGUACCUUAUGAAUAAGGACCGGCUAAUUCCGUG